UUGGGCGUAAGCGCACGCAGGCGGUCGACCAAGUUUGAGGUGACGGCUCCUCGCUUAACGAGGAGAGUGCCGCAAAGACUGGCCGACUUGAGAGCGAGAGAGGGACAUGGAACUCCAGGUGAAGCGGUGAAAUGCGUAGAGAUCUGGAAGAACACCAAAGGCGAAGGCAGUGUCCUGGCUCGUAUCUGACGCUGAUGUGCGAAAGCUAGGGGAGCGAACGGGAUUAGAUACCCCGGUAGUCCUAGCCGUAAACAAUGACCACUAGGUGUGCGGGGUUCGACCCCCUGCGUACCGUAGUCAACACAAUAAGUGGUCCGCCUGGGGAGUACGGUCGCAAGACUAAAACUCAAAGGAAUUGACGGGGACCCGCACAAGCAGCGGAGCGUGUGGUUUAAUUCGAUGCAACACGAAGAACCUUACCAGGGCUUGACAUGGGCAUGAUAACAGCAGAAAUGUUGUUCCCUUCGGGGCAUGUCCACAGGUGCUGCAUGGCUGUCGUCAGCUCGUGCCGUGAGGUGUUGGGUUAAGUCCCGCAACGAGCGCAACCCUUAUCGUCAGUUAGAAAUGUCUGACGAGACUGCCACGAUAAAGGUGGAGGAAGGUGGGGAUGACGUCAAGUCAGCACGGC
rnacentral:rRNA from 1 species